rnacentral:tRNA from 1 species
GAGACGGUAGCUCAGUCCGGCAGAACGGCUGGGGAACCCCCAUCCUACGUCACCGCGAGGUGUGAUAGGCUCUGAAGGGAGUACCAGCGAACACGACGCGGGUUCGAUUCCCGCCCGUCUCA